GCCCUGUGGGUGUGGGAGGCUCGCUCCAAGCCUAAGCACUGACCUGUGGAGGAGCUGAGCAGCUGGAAUUGGCUCCUUCCUGCCCAAUGCUCCUUCUGCACCGCCCACCCUUUUGAGUCCUUUGUGUGCAUUGACUCCACCCUCUGGAGGGCUGGAAGUGGAGCCGGCUAUACGGAAGCGGCAGACCCAAGCACUUGCCCGGGUCAUACAUCUGAGCACCAGGGCCCGCCAAGCCAAGCUCCAUUCUCCCAGGUGCUGGGGUGAGGCCCCGAAGGUGGCCACAACCUCGGGACAGGGCUGUGGCCACUCUUACUAUCUGGAGCUUCUGUUCCUGCCACGAGGACAAGGACGGCAUCUGCCCACCCUCCGUGCGUCCUCUGUGGCCCAGGAAGCAGAAUUUAGGGUGAAACAUGAGAAUUUUUAGGCCUCAUCUCACCAAACAUUUCCCUCCCCUCUGCUGCCUCCAGUCUUCCGGAACUGUUUGUAAUAUCACUAAAGAUUUUAGAGACAGAAAAUUGUAUAAACUGCCAAACUCUGUGAGUUCCUUGUUCUAUUUUGUUUUCCUCCCCCUCAUAACUCCCACAGUUUCACCCUAGACACUAUAGACGCUCCGCGUGGCAAAGUACAGGUCACCCUGCCACACCGAGUUCUAGCCUGUGCCAUUUGGGCAGAUGUUUUCUUUCAGAGCAAUGCACACACACACACACACACACACACACACACACACUUUUGUUUUUUUCACCCACUUGUAGGUGUGAACCAUAGUCCUGUUCAAGUAUCCACUGCUGUUUGGGACAAAGAGAAUCUGGAAAAUCUUUGUCCCAACGUCUAGGAUGGGAAGAACUUAGAGAUUGUUAUCGAAUUCCUGUUAAGUGAGAAGCAGUUGCAGGAGGGUCUCCAGCCUUGCUCCCAAUCCGUGUGGCUCCUGGAGGCAGUGGUUGGGCCAGUGUUGGGGCCCAUCCUCCCCUCUCUGAUGUGUUCUGAUGAGGGGCCUGUCCUGCCCUACAUUGCUCCAGGGGUAGCAAAGUCUGCUCUGCGCAGCUGAUAGUCCAGCAAGAGAAGGUUUUCAUCAGCCCUAAGAUAAGUGCAUACCUUUUCCCGAUCAUUUUCUACUUGAAGAUCCUGGGAUCCAAACUUGGAAAAGAUCGACAACACCAAAACAAAUAAAGGGAAGACCUGAGAAUCCACUGUCCCCGGAGAAGCCCUGGUUGAGAAGGAUUCCAUGAUGUGGCCAGCUCGACUCUACCAGGCACUCCCAGCCACGAUGCUCUGCCUUGCCACAGGACCAAGAUGGCGAGACUACUGAACUAUGGACUGAAACCUCUGAAACCAUGCUCCAGAAGAAAAGUUUUCUCCUUAAUGGAUGCAAGACAGUGUUCACAAAGAUGAGGACCUAGACAUGACAUUGGCAAAUAGGGCCAUGAAGACCGAGGUUUAAGUGGGAAGAGACAUGAGCCGUGUGCCCAGAAAUGAAGACACAUGGAUGGAACUCUGUGUUUCCUCAAGGGGCCCCAACAUAAACUUGAGCUUCUUAGAACCUGUGGCUCUCUGUCUUUGCUGGAAUUGUCCAUUACAGUGUAUCAAAGUGAAAAAUCUUUAACUACAAUUGGAUUCUUUCUUAAGCAAAACAUCAGUGCACUCAAUUAUGAAAGAAUGCAAAUCAAAGAAAAUGUGUGAAGUUCUGAAAAUAUAUAUGUAUAUAGCAAAGAGCAUGGCAGAAUUUCAGUUUCUCUGGUGGAGGUGAUGAGGAUGUAUUUAAAAAUCAUAGGUUGAAAAUUGAAUUAAAUUCCUGUGAUUGAGAUGCAAAGGGUGGUUCACAGAUUAGUAGAGUUUAAGAAGUAACACAUCUUAUUUCCAGGGCUUUUGCCAAGAAAAGAAAAGUGAAAAAGUGAUCAUGAUAAAUUUUUCAGGACAUUUUAUGCAAUUUCAUAAUUGGUACCAUAUCUGUGCCCGAAUCCACACUUCCCAUACCUCGAAUCAUGUUAAGUAACGUUUUUCUGACGUUUUUUGAAAUAUAACACAUUCCCUAAUGGACAGUUUAUAGAGCAAAUACCUUAUAAUGAAAACCAGGUCUGGAAUUUGGGGUCACCCAGUGCAAAAUGAAAAUAUGGGGGUCCUUCUUAAAAAUUAUCAAUAAUUUCAAGAUAGUAGCAGCAGAGCAUGAAGCCCAGAGCAGGGUCUUCUGAGAGCAGGCUUUGCAUGUGCAGGCCCGGAAGCCCGUCCUGGCAGAAGGCAGCCUAAAUGCCCUUGUGGUCUUUCUCUGUCAUGGCACCAUCACUUUCUCCAUUGUGUGAUCAGUACCCUAAACAUCUGUGUCAAGCUGUUGUGGCUGGGAUCUAAAAUGUUUCCGAGUCUCCUGUGUCAGAGGUGGACCAUGAGGUGCUGUACUAAUCAGUGGAUUCAUCCAUUGUUGAGUUCACGGCUGGCUGAGCUGUUAGAAGGUGGGGCCUGGUAGGAGGUGGUCCCUGGGGUGAUCCGGGAGGGUGUGUUCCUGUCCCUGGCUCCUCCCUUCUCUCUGCUCCCUGGCUGCCAUGGCAUGAGCAGUUGUCCUCUGCCAGGUCUUCAUGGUGCUGUUCCUGCCUUGGAGACAGCCGAUCUUGGACUAAGUUCCCUUUCCUUCUUUC